rnacentral:misc_RNA from 1 species
AGCAGCCGCGGUAAUUCCAGCUCCAAUAGCGUAUAUUAAAGUUGCUGCAGUUAAAAGCUCGUAGUUGAAUUUCGGGACCAUCAUGUCGGUCGUGCCUCGGUACGUACUGGCAUUGUUGGUUUCUACCUUCUGACGAACCAUGAUGUCAUUUAUUUGGUGUCGUGGGAAAUCAGGACUGUUACUUUGAAAAAAUUAGAGUGUUUAAAGCAGGCUCACGCUUGAAUACAUUAGCAUGGAAUAAUGAAAUAGGACGUUUGAUUCUAUUUUGUUGGUUUCUAGGAUCGACGUAAUGAUUAAUAGGGAUAGUUGGGGGCAUUAGUAUUCAAUUGUCAGAGGUGAAAUUCUUGGAUUUAUUGAAGACUAACUACUGCGAAAGCAUUUGCCAAGGAUGUUUUCAUUAAUCAAGAACGGAAGUUAGGGGAUCGAAGACGAUCAGAUACCGUCGUAGUCUUAACCAUAAACUAUGCCGAC